rnacentral:rRNA from 1 species
UACGGGGGGGGCAAGCGUUGUUCGGAAUUACUGGGCGUAAAGGGUUCGUAGGUGGCUUGCUAAGUCAGACGUGAAAUCCCUCAGCUUAACUGGGGAACUGCGUCUGAGACUGGCAAGCUCGAGUGCAGGAGAGGAACGCAGAAUUCCAGGUGUAGCGGUGAAAUGCGUAGAUAUCGUUCGGAACACCAAUAGCGUAGGCAGGCUUCUGGGUGCCACCUGACACUGCUAGGACGAAAGCGUGGGGAGCGAAUGGG